UACAGAGGGUGCGAGCGUUAAUCGGAAUUACUGGGCGUAAAGGGCGCGUAGGCGGUUGUAUAUGUGUGAUGUGAAAGCCCCGGGCUUAACCUGGGAAGUGCAUCGCAAACUGUAUAUCUGGAGUAUAUGAGAGGGUGGCGGAAUUUCCGGUGUAGCGGUGAAAUGCGUAGAGAUCGGAAGGAACGUCAAUGGCGAAGGCAGCCACCUGGCAUAAUACUGACGCUGAGGCGCGAAAGCAUGGGGAGCGAACAGG
rnacentral:rRNA from 1 species